rnacentral:rRNA from 1 species
CCUACGGGGGGCAGCAGUGAGGAAUAUUGGUCAAUGGACGAGAGUCUGAACCAGCCAAGUAGCGUGAAGGAUGACUGCCCUAUGGGUUGUAAACUUCUUUUAUAUGGGAAUAAAGUUUUCCACGUGUGGUUUUUUGUAUGUACCAUAUGAAUAAGGAUCGGCUAACUCCGUGCCAGCAGCCGCGGUAAUACGGAGGAUCCGAGCGUUAUCCGGAUUUAUUGGGUUUAAAGGGAGCGUAGGUGGAUUGUUAAGCCAGUUGUGAAAGUUUGCGGCUCAACCGUAAAAUUGCAGUUGAAACUGGUUGU